AUGAAUGAACGAGGGGUUGUCGCUGGCUCUCAGGAGCAUGUGCACGCCUCUCACAAUUCAUCUUAACCACCUGUGCACUUUUAGUAGGCUUAUUGAUAACGCUCAAUCUUCGGAUUGGAUAGAGGACUAUGCUAACGCUGGUCUUCAAUAUCAAUGGCCUAUGUUAUUAUCUACCAAUAAAGUCUAGAAUGUCUUGUUAUUAGGUCUAGUACCUAUAAACUAUUAUA
rnacentral:misc_RNA from 1 species